rnacentral:lncRNA from 1 species
AUUAGUAUGGAUCAAGUACUAGUCUAGCUCUAGGGGAGGAUAGUGAAGGUGAUCUUAUUAUUAGCAUUUGACAACAAUUGACAUUCUUGGUUUGCUUUUCAGUCAUUCUACAGAGGUUCUCAGGUAAAUACUUUCCCUUUUUUUAGCACCAUCUUGAGCAAUUAAGUAAAUGUUUGCCAUUAAAAGAGGUCUUAUGACAGCUGGCCUGGGAGUCUAAUCUAUGACUUCUCCAUUUUGAUCACUACAAGGUUGUCCAACACAUUUUGUUUGGUUGGCAAUUGACAUGUUCUUCAUCUCUUUGUGUCAAUAAUGUCUGCAAAAAAAAAAAAAAAGUCUUUAUGCGAGAUAGAAUGAAUGAACGAAGCAGUAGUCUUUAUUGUCAUUUCUUUUGAUUUUUUUUUUGGUCAGUCCUACUCUAUGCCUACUCUACACUCACUCGCAGACUUGUGCCCUACUUCUUGCAGGGCGUGGGAGUCGCAACCCACUCUCGAAACUUACCCGUCCCUACCCCCCAUCCUCCCCUGAAAAGGUGGGGAUUUGAACCCCUCACCUCCCCCUUCCAAGUUGGAAGGGUGGCCACUAGGGCGAACCCCCAGUGGUUCAUCAUUUCUUUUGAUGACUAAGUCAAUCAUUACCGAUUUUAAAUAUAUGUAAUAGACCACAUGUAGACACAAUUUCUCUUGUGUACCCUUGUCUCACAUUUUUCUUGUUCUAUUACUUCCAAUGGUCACACUGAUUAGCACUGUGUUUGGUAGUCUUGCUUUGCCAUAGCAAUAUGGAUAUUUUCGCCAAAGCGAUUGGCAAGAGUAACUUGCAAUUUUGCCAAGUUUGCAAAAGAAGAAAGUACUUCAAUGUAAUGCUUCUUGAUUUCUACUGACACUUGGAUGUUAAUCAAUAAUUUUAGAAUAGCAUUUGUUCUUAUAAAAGUACAAAAACAAAAAUUAGCAAGAUAAAAGCAAAAAUAAUUAAAUAAUGAAAUAAACAAAUAUGAUAAACGAAAUAAAUAGACAAAUAAUAAAGACAUCAACAUAUAAAAAGAAUCCGGUCACAAUAAGAAAAGAAAAGGUCGGUCCAAUUCAUGUAGCUCAACUUGAUCCACAAGGCCAUCGUGUCAGCCCAUUGGCCC